AGGACGAACGCUGGCGGCGUGCUUAACACAUGCAAGUCGAACGGAAAGGCCCGCUUGCGGGUACUCGAGUGGCGAACGGGUGAGUAACACGUGGGCAACCUGCCCUCAGCUUCGGGAUAACACUUGGAAACAGGUGCUAAUACCGGAUAAUAACCUUUCAUCGCAUGGUGUGGGGUUCAAAGUUUUUCGGCUGGGGAUGGGCCCGCGGCCUAUCAGCUUGUUGGUGGGGUAAUGGCCUACCAAGGCGACGACGGGUAGCCGGCCUGAGAGGGCGACCGGCCACACUGGGGACUGAGACACGGCCCAGACUCCUACGGGAGGCAGCAGUGGGGAAUAUUGCGCAAUGGGCGGAAGCCUGACGCAGCGACGCCGCGUGAGGGAUGACGGCCUUCGGGUUGUAAACCUCUUUCAGCUCUGACGAAGCGCAAGUGACGGUAGGAGCAGAGAAGCACCGGCACUACGUGCCAGCAGCCGC
rnacentral:rRNA from 1 species